rnacentral:rRNA from 1 species
CCUACGGGUGGCAGCAGUCGAGAAUCAUUCACAAUGGGGGAAACCCUGAUGGUGCGACGCCGCGUGGGGGAAUGAAGGUCUUCGGAUUGUAAACCCCUGUUAUGUGGGAGCAAAUCAAAAAGAUAGUACCACAAGAGGAAGAGACGGCUAACUCGGUGCCAGCAGCCGCGGUCAUACAGAGGCCUCAAGCGUUGUGCGGAAUCACUGGGCGUAAAGCGUGCGUAGGCUGUUUCGUAAGUCGUGUGUGAAAGGCGCGGGCUCAACCCGCGGAAGGCACAUGAUACUGCGAGACUAGAGUAAAGGAGGGGGAACCGGAAUUCUCGGUGUAGCAGUGAAAUGCGUAGAUAUCGAGAGGAACACUCGUGGCGAAGGCGGGUUCCUGGACAUUAACUGACGCUGAGGCACGAAGGCCAGGGGAGCGAAAGGGAUUAGAUACCCUGGUAGUC